rnacentral:rRNA from 1 species
GACGAACGCUGGCGGCGUGCUUAACACAUGCAAGUCGAACGGAAAGGCCUCUUUCGGGGGGUACUCGAGUGGCGAACGGGUGAGUAACACGUGAGUAACCUGCCCUUGACUUUGGGAUAACUUCAGGAAACUGGGGCUAAUACCGGAUAGGAGCUCCUGCUGCAUGGUGGGGGUUGGAAAGUUUCGGCGGUUGGGGAUGGACUCGCGGCUUAUCAGCUUGUUGGUGGGGUAGUGGCUUACCAAGGCUUUGACGGGUAGCCGGCCUGGGAGGGUGACCGGCCACAUUGGGACUGAGGUACGGCCCAGACUCCUACGGGGGGCAGCAGUGGGGAAUAUUGCACAAUGGGUGGAAGCCUGAUGCAGCAACGCCGUGUGCGGGAUGACGGCCUUCGGGUUGUAAACCGCUUUCGCUCAUGACGAAGCUUUGUGUGACGGUAGUGGGUAAAGAAGCACCGGCUAACUACGUG